AGCAUAUUGAUGCGUACAACUCUUGUUCAAGGACUAGUCGUAUCACUUACGGUGGCUGCAUCAAAUAUAAAGGACAACGAUGCAUGAAAGUUGACAUAUAGCAAUUUAUUGAAAUACAACUUCGUUGUUUUCUGUGGAAAAGUUCUUGUACGUCCGUUGUACAUAACCUCCGAAAAACAAUCCAUAAGUCCGACUAGUCCACAUACCAGUGUUUGUGGUUCGAAAAUUUGUGUGAAUCAACGAAAUAUGAGUUCGAUAAACUACGUCAGCGUGACAAAUGUAAUGUAUGAGAUAGACGGGUGCAUCUAAUAGAAUUUUCUAACAUAAGCUGAACCAUGAACUCAAACUCCAAAUCGACUUGUUUAAGAAAAAAAGAAGGUUUGGAGUGCAAAUGGUGAGGAUGAGGAACAUGCCAAGGUCAUGAAAGAUAAAAGUAACCUACCCAAUAUUCAUACGAAUCUCAAUGUUAUAUGAUGGAUUGCAAAUGGUGAGGAUGAGGAACAUAUGCCAAGAAAGAUAAAAGGAACCGACACGAUAUUCAUACGAAUCUCAAUGUUAUAAGAUGGAUUGCAAAUGUGAGGAUGAGGAACAUGCCAAGGUCAUGAAAGAUAAAAGUAACCGACACAUUAUGAAAAGUCAACAGUAGGCAGGCAACCAUCACGAGGUGGCCUGGUGGUUGGAGACAAAUUUCAGGUCCGUAUUCUACACGACACAUCUGGGUUUGAUUACUGAUGUUGGUGAAUC
rnacentral:lncRNA from 1 species